UUUGUAAAUUUGUACUACAGGAAACGAAACUUAGCACAGAUCCAACUCUGGCAUUAGAGGAUCUCACACGGUGGCAUGUGAAAGUUUGCUGAAGAAAUAAGACCCGUCUUCCCACCCAGGCAGGACAUCAAGCCAGCAGAUUUGCCACGUUUUCCAGUGUUAUGCCAAGUAUACAAAUUUGAGUCUGGUUAACUGGAUUUGAUAAGUCUGCACAAGGGAAUCUGCAUAGUGUAUGACUUGCUGUACCAUUAGCAAGAAGUUUGCAUUUUUUUUUGCUUCAGAACCAUACCAGCAAAGGCCUCCAACCAAGCCUUUUGGAGUCAGUCACUCAAAUACAAAUACAAAUUAUACAGUUUUAUAUUAUAUAUAAAUUUAUUUAUUGAAUUUAUAUAUAAUAUAAAAUUGUAUACUGAGCUUUACACUCUUAACAUGCCAUUUCAAAUGACUAGUUGUCUGAAAACAGGAAAUGGAAAUUCAUCUGGCUUCAACCCCAAUAAAAGGCUCAACACACAGAAGAAUGGGAAGCAUGAAGAGUACGAUCGUAAAUUGGUGGCAGAUCCCCAUUGUAAAUUGGUUGAAGAAUUCUUUGAGCAAAUCAGAGACUCGAAGGAGCUUCCUGAGCUAGUGAAGAAACACAGUGGGUUUGAAAUUAAAUUAAAGGAACCAAAAGGCUAUGCAGUCAGAAUCACAGAUCUGGAUGGAACCGUCUACUGGGGA